GGUCCCUCUAGAUUUUAUGUUUUUGUACUUAAAUAGAAGCAUGAAAUUAGAGUGAGGGGUGGCAGACAGUCCCAGAGAGAGUGAAUCCCGCACCACUCCAGGAGAGAUGUGAAAUCCAGGAGGAAGACAUCCCUACAGAUUCAAUGCCAUUGGUUGAGGCACUUUGAGUCUGUACCACAAAAGAUGAUUAGAAUGUCACCGGAC